rnacentral:rRNA from 1 species
CCCUUAGAUGUUCUGGGCCGCACGCGCGCUACACUGAUGCAGUCAACAAGUAUAUUAUCCUAGGUUGAAAAAUCUGGGUAAUCUUUUGAAACUGCAUCGUGCUGGGGCUUGACGAUUGCAAUUAUUUGUCACAAACGAGGAAUUCCUAGUAAACGCAAGUCAUCAUCUUGCAUUGAUUACGUCCCUGCCCUUUGUACACACCGCCCGUCGCUACUACCGAUUGAAUGGUUUAGUGAGAUCUUCGGAUUGGCGCCACUGCGGCUCAGCAAUGGGCUCGGUGGAUGCCGAAAAGUUGAUCAAACUUGAUCAUUUAGAGGAAGUAAAAGUCGUAACA